GCAGUCGACGGUAACGGAAGCAGCUCGCUGCUUCGCUGACGAGUGGCGGACGGGUGAGUAAUGUCUGGGAAACUGCCUGAUGGAGGGGGAUAACUACUGGGAACGGUAGCUAAUACCGCAUAACGUCGCAAGACCAAAGAGGGGGACCUUCGGGCCUCUUGCCAUCGGAUGUGCCCAGAUGGGAUUAGCUAGUAGGUGGGGUAACGGCUCACCUAGGCGACGAUCCCUAGCUGGUCUGAGAGGAUGACCAGCCACAUUGGAACUGAGACACGGUCCAGACUCCUACGGGAGGCAGCAGUGGGGAAUAUUGCACAAUGGGCGCAAGCCUGAUGCAGCCAUGCCGCGUGUAUGAAGAAGGCCUUCGGGUUGUAAAGACNUUUUCAGCGGGGAGGAAGGGAGUAAAGUUAAUACCUUUGCUCAUUGACGUUACCCGCAGAAGAAGCACCGGCUAACUCCGUGCCAGCAGCCGCGGUAAUACGGAGGGUGCAAGCGUUAAUCGGAAUUACUGGGCGUAAAGCGCACGCAGGCGGUUUGUUAAGUCAGAUGUGAAAUCCCCGGGCUCAACCUGGGAACUGCAUCUGAUACUGGCAAGCUUGAGUCUCGUAGAGGGGGGUAGAAUUCCAGGUGUAGCGGUGAAAUGCGUAGAGAUCUGGAGGAAUACCGGUGGCGAAGGCGGCCCCCUGGACGAAGACUGACGCUC
rnacentral:rRNA from 1 species